rnacentral:lncRNA from 1 species
UGAUUUGGGUGUGAUUGGUGUCAUUUGAAUGGGGCGAAUGAGGUUUUCUCGAAACUUGUAUGUAGUUGGUUGGUAAGAAUGUUGGAUUCAGAGGGGAAACUUUUGUGAGACAUUAGUGACUACGGUAAGGCUUGCAUCGCAGCCUUGAUAAAUUUGUGGGGCAUUGAGAGGGUUUAUGGAAGCGAAAGAUUGGGGUGGAAAAUAGAAAGAAGAGUGCGGUAGGGGACAUGAAAGAUGACCUGUCGCAAAUUGUUCUGGGUUCAUGUCAUGUGCAUAUGUCAGGAUCUGUGGUGAAUUGCUUUUCUGAUUUUGUAGAGAAGAAGUAGCUGGGAAGAAGAAGAGCGUGCACAUAUAAGAGGGAGAAAGCGUAGAAAAUAACUUUUAUUAAUCUUUUCUUCUAAAAGACAUGACACAAUCUCUCUACAAACUCACUUGCUACUCACAGCUAGUAAGUGACAUUCUCCCUAGAUCCCUCUGUAGCUCUCUCUUAACCUAAGGGAUUCUGUGUUCUAACUCCAAGUUCAAAGACACUCUCCAAAAGUGCUAUGUGACCAUGAUAUAUAGCCAUGCGUCAACUCAUAGUCCUUUUUCCAUGCAUCAACUCAUAUUCCUUUGUCCUCUCAUAUUUAAACUCCUAACCACUAUCUCACAGCUGCUCCAUAGACUGGUCGAUUAUUCUGUAAUUCCUUGGUAUUUGAAAAAAGAAUUCCUAGUGCAAGUUGAACUUUCACAGGCUAAACUCUAUUCUAAUCCUAUUUGCGUUUAGUACUCAUUUAAAGUAGAUGAUAUUGAAUACGAGGAAUAGGAAAUAAAACCUUUUACAUCAACUGGUUCACACAUAGACCUCACAUUAACAACGCUGACUGAUGCGCUCCUUAACUAACAUAUUCCAUAAUUACAUAAAUUAAGACCUCACAUUGCAUCGCAGCCUUGAUAAAUUUGUGGGGCAUUGAGAGGGUUUAUGGAAGCGAAAGAUUGGGGUGGAAAAUAGAAAGAAGAGUGCGGUAGGGGACAUGAAAGAUGACCUGUCGCAAAUUGUUCUGGGUUCAUGUCAUGUGCAUAUGUCAGGAUCUGUGGUGAAUUGCUUUUCUGAUUUUGUAGAGAAGAAGUAGCUGGGAAGAAGAAGAAGAGCAUGCACAUAUAAGAGGGAGAAAGCAUAGAAAAUAACUUUUAUUAAUCUUUUCUUCUAAAAGACAUGACACAAUCUCUCAACAAACUCACUUGCUACUCACAGCUAGUAAGUGACAUUCUCCCUAGAUCCCUCUGUAGCUCUCUCUUAACCUAAGGGAUUCUGUGUUCUAACUCCAAGUUCAAAGACACUCUCCAAAAGUGCUAUGUGACCAUGAUAUAUAGCCAUGCGUCAACUCAUAGUCCUUUUUCCAUGCAUCAACUCAUACUCCUUUGUCCUCUCAUAUUUAAACUCCUAACCACUAUCUCACAGCUGCUCCAUAGACUGGUCGAUUAUUCUGUAAUUCCUUGGUAUUUGAAAAAAGAAUUCCUAGUGCAAGUUGAACUUUCACAGGCUAAACUCUAUUCUAAUCCUAUUUGCGUUUAGUACUCAUUUAAAGUAGAUGAUAUUGAAUACGAGGAAUAGGAAAUAAAACCUUUUACAUCAACUGGUUCACACAUAGACCUCACAUUAACAACGCUGACUGAUGCGCUCCU